GCCCAGGUAGCUCAGUCGGUAGAGCAGAGGACUGAAAAUCCUCGUGUCGCUGGUUCGAUUCCGGCCCUGGGCACCA
rnacentral:tRNA from 1 species